rnacentral:RNase_P_RNA from 1 species
UUCAGGAUUUUUAAUAUUUAAAAAUUUUUUUUGGAAAGUCCGAUACGAAUUAAAGAUAAUAGAUGGAUUCUAUUCUGUAAAAACAGAAGACAUUUAAAAGAAACUAAAAUUCACUGAAGGCGAACUCCUUAAUCUUAUCUUCGUUAUUCUAUUGAUUUCUGAAAUAGAUAAUAAAUAUAUAUAACAGAAUUCGGCUUAUAAAAAUCUGAAAA